AUCUGAUAGUGGCUUAAACCCCGGACUUUGCUGAAAGCUUCAGUUCCCCUCCUGCCCAGGCUGGUUCUUUGUGCAGGAGCAGCUGCUACUGCUUCUGGAGAUAGCUUGUUGCAGAGCUUGGCGUGCUCUGCUCUCCUCAUCCUUCUGUUGAUCUCCCCUUUGGCACCUUUGGCUGCACCACCUGCAGAAGCAGCUGGAGGAUGGGGGGCAUUGUCCUGUGCAGGGAUCCUGAUGUCCUUGCUUGUGAUGAAAUCUGUCCUAUGAACUGCUGUAGCCUAGAGACCUCCUGGAGGCCACAGGAUGGCUCCUUCACAUCACAGAGACCCACGGAGUUGGAGAGGUACCUCCAGGCUUGGAAAUGCACAGUGAAUUUUGUCAUUAGCAAAUCAGAAUCUGAAUGGCACCGCAUUUCUCUGCCUAAGCUCUUAAGUACCUUGUCUUCUCAAGCAGCUAACUUUGUUCCUGCUUCCUGCAAAGAGAUUUAUGUCCCUACAAACCCAGGAAUAAGAGUCCUGCUGGCAGGGAGCCCCAGAGGAGCAUGGGGUUUGCAGAUGAUGCUGAUAAAUGUAAUUGCUGGCGGUUGUUGAUCCCAGAUCUGCCAAUCAUGAUUUAACCUUUAACUCCACAGGCAUCAUAUGGGUGGAGACCAUUGUAGAUCCAAGAUAAGUGUUCACAUUAGAACCAUAGUAGAGAAUUUCUUCCCCAUUGCUAUCUGAUUUAAUAUUUGCUUCUAUUGCAUGAAAAACCAAGCAUUUCACUUGUCAAGACUUGAAUGGUAGCAAGCUUCAGUAUUAAGUACUGUUUAGCAGUGUCAACAGUAUUUCUCUGAAACCUCUUUUGUUGGCUUUAACAAAACCUCAUCAGAUCGUACUGAAAGGAUUAGCAUCUGGAGUUUCAUUUGCUAAUCCAACAUUGCCUCUAAUUUGAAAGGAAAAAGUUUUAGCUUGCCUUGGAAAGGAAAGGAAAGGUUAUCCUGUACUCGGCCAUUUGAAGAAGCAGAGUGAAAUGACAUGGGGCACAGUGUCAAGACUGAGUAAGAACAAGCAGGCAUGGCCCUUUGUUGAGCCUGACCUCAGCCAAAUACAUGGUUUUGAGAACUUAACUAUUUGUUGAAUGAUAAGUGAUGGCCCAAGAAAUAAAAUUACUCCAUACUAAAAUGAUGAAUAAACCAGGAUUCCCAUCAAGUCUAUAAGUAUGAAAUGUAGUUACUUCAUCCUCCUUCAAUAUAACAUUCUUUUGUUUCCUAUUGAGCAAUCCCAGUAAGAGUUUUCAACUGAGCUUGAAAUUAAUUACAAGUAACCAUCUAUUAGGGAAAGAGCAUAAGGGAUGAUGCUUAUGCCCAGAAAGAAGAUUUAAAGGAAACUAUUUGAUAAUCUAGUAAUGAUUGAACGAAUGCGACCCCUGAAUUCAACUAGGAAUAAAAACACCUACUCACCAGGUUAUGGGGAAAAUAAAAUGAAGUCAUGUAUAUGAAGCAUCUAACGCACUGGCAGGACCUAGUAGGUACUGAACAAAUGUUAACACUCCACUUCAAUCCUCUUAACACUAGCUAACUUGUAUUGAAUCAGAUGGCUGAAUUCUUCCAUUACCUUCCAUUUCUAGGGUUUCUUUCCUGUUUUAAUGGAGAUGUUACUGAAGUAGGGAUUAUCACUUUUCUCUCAUUUUAUAAAGAGACUUCAUCCUUACCAGAACAAAGAGUUGCUUAAUCAUUUAAGUGAACUUUUGUAAGAUCAAUUCUAGAAAACAGCUCCUGAGCACUGCCACUUUCAAGAGGUCUGCACUGUGGUUUAGAAGUGCUUGCUGUUUGUCAGGGAAAGAAGCCCCGCUGAGUUCAGGGGAGUUAGACCAAGUCAUUCUCAACUCCUUGAACACUUCUGACGCAUUCAGAAGAAGAGAGAUGUGACAAAACUAUCCAGGUCCUUUGGGCAAUUUUUUCCACUGUACUGUGUGAAUCUCUUAGUUUCUUAUCAUGUGAUCCUGACAUUUUUCUCCCUAUUGUCUAUAGAAAUAAAGUCCAGACUCCUUAUAAUGAUUUUCAAGGCUUUUUACAAAUCAGGACUAUUUUUCUUCAAAGUCUCACCUCUCUCUCCCUGGAACAUGCACCUUCAUAUUUAUAUAUCUAACUGUCCCCGUCUCUCCACCAAACUCCUAUUCAUCCUUGAAAAAUCUCUUCUAUGAAGCUAUGCUUCUACAAAGCAAGAUUUCAAAGAACUUUUAUAGUUUUGCAAUCUCACAGUACUUCUCACUUGCUAUUUUAAUUAUUAUAACUUUAUGUCUUUGUUCUCACUGGACUGCAAAAUCCUGAGGCAAAUAUCUGGGCACUGAAGGUCUUGGCCACUAGAUGAAGUCGUCUGGGAUAAAUUGAUAGAAAACAGUUGAUGAAGUGAAAAAGAACAGAAAGUAC
rnacentral:lncRNA from 1 species